AGCACGUACUGCUCCGCCCCGCCGCCGGGCCCCGGCCCCGCCCCGGGGCCCACCCCCGAGCUGUUGUAGUGCGGGCAGUAAAUAUCCAGGCUUUGGGGAGGGGGCUGCCAGCACUAAGGAUGCCAGGUCUGGAGCAGCUGCACAGCCACACUGGGGCUCCUGUCCUUGAGCCUCACCCAUGUUUCCAGUCUCACUCUGAAGGGGCCCCUCCCUGCUGCACCGCCCAGUUCCCCUGCAACACACCCCAUUCCAGAAGGAAGUAAGCCAACUCUGCAGGUAUCCCUACAGAAAGGCAAAUGGCGACACACCCCAUCGGGGUGGGGGGCCCCCUCACCCCGUUAUUCGGUCUCUCCCCGACUCUCACAGUCCCGGAAGCGCAUCCCGACCCCUCGCUGUCACUCCUUCAGUGCCCCGCCUGCCUGGCCCCACUGCCUGGCCAGUGCCCCGCCUGCCUGGCCCCACUGAGCCCUGAGUAUCUGCGGAGGGGGGGCGGAGAAGGAGCAGGGAAGGAGCAAACCUCUCCCCCUGGGGCAAUUAGGGGCAGGUAAACAGGGUGUCUAACAAGACCAGGGUGUAGGGAAAGGAUCCCAAGGGGCCCUGAACUUGUUAAAUCCCUGACCCGGGCCUCAGACGCCAGGAUGCAUGCAGAGUUAAGGGAGUGGAGCAAGGGUGUAAAGACACCCGGCCCGGGUUCUUCUUCCCUCUAG